rnacentral:tRNA from 4 species
GCGGCCGUAGCUCAAUGGCAGAGCGCACGCUUCCCAAGCCUGAUACGCGGGUUCGAUUCCCGUCGGCCGCUCCA